GACGAACGCUGGCGGCGUGCUUAACACAUGCAAGUCGAGCGAGGCCCUUCCUUCGGGAAGGUGCCCUAGCGGCGAACGGGUGAGUAACACGUGGGCAACCUGCCCCUAGCACUGGGAUAACUCCGGGAAACCGGGGCUAAUACCGGAUAUGACCUUUGAGGGCAUCCUCUUUGGUGUAAAGGAUUCUGGCUAGGGAUGGGCCCGCGGCCUAUCAGCUUGUUGGUGGGGUAACGGCCUACCAAGGCGACGACGGGUAGCCGGCCUGAGAGGGCGACCGGCCACACUGGGACUGAGACACGGCCCAGACUCCUACGGGAGGCAGCAGUGGGGAAUAUUGCACAAUGGGCGAAAGCCUGAUGCAGCGACGCCGCGUGAGGGAUGACUGCCUUCGGGUUGUAAACCUCUGUCACC
rnacentral:rRNA from 1 species